AUGCGGUGGGCACAACGUCCCAACAACCACUUCCGUUUCAUGGAUGUCCUGGUCGAUGCCUGCAAGGUGCCCUGCGUCUAUAAGAGCUGCGAGAGGUACGUCGACCAGCACUCGCUGGCGGAGCAUACUUCAAGAUGCACGCACGCGCCCUGCUACUGUUAUGAGUGCAUGCCGCCGUUUGAGGGCUCGCCGGCGAGCCUCGUGCAUCACCUCACGGCACCAUCUAGCAAUCACUACUGGCCCACUAUGAACAUCAAGUACGAGAUGUGCUACCCAUUCGUCGUGCCAGAGUCACUGGAGGAUCACCGCCGCCUGCUAGUCGCGGAGGAGGAUGACAGCAUCGUCCGCUUGGUCGUGGGCACUGGCAAGGUCCACGCAGGCUACCGCCCUGUCUCUGUAGUGUGCGUCAGGGGCAACGCCAUUGACACUGGCACGAGGCCGUUGUAUUGGUGCGUGCUCACUGUUACUGCCCCUCCGGUGUACGAGGGCGACCUUGGCGCCUUUAUCACACUGAAUAGGACUGUGUCGAGCUGCUCUGCUCCCGGCAAUGUGGACAUGGAAAAGGCCUGGUAUCAUCUCCCCCCCCCCCAAGAUGGUGCACGGGGACUCCAAGGAGGUUCACCUGGGCAUAUGCAUUACCAAGUUAGUUGUUCAUCAUUAGUCUUUGCUCAAUGUAAGAUGUUGUCUAAGCAUGUGGACACUUCUUAUUUAUAUAGUAUAGAACCUUCCAUGCAUGAUCUUGCUCUAUUAGAGUAUCACGCUUGA
rnacentral:rRNA from 1 species